rnacentral:rRNA from 1 species
UACGGCGGAACACGAGAAAUUCCGUCGGAAUCCGCGGGGACCAUCCCGCAAGGCUAAAUACUCCCUAGUGACCGAUAGUGAACCAGUACCGUGAGGGAAAGGUGAAAAGCACCCCGGAAGGGGAGUGAAAUAGAUCCUGAAACCGUGUGCCUACAACAAGUCAAAGCUCGUUAAUGAGUGAUGGCGUGCCUUUUGUAGAAUGAACCGGCGAGUUACGAUUGCAUGCGAGGUUAAGUCGAAGAGACGGAGCCGCAGCGAAAGCGAGUCUGAAUAGGGCGAAUGAGUAUGUAGUCGUAGACCCGAAACCAUGUGAUCUACCCAUGUCCAGGUUGAAGGUGCGGUAAAACGCACUGGAGGACCGAACCCACGUACGUUGAAAAGUGCGGGGAUGAGGUGUGGGUAGCGGAGAAAUUCCAAACGAACUUGGAGAUAGCUGGUUCUCUCCGAAAUAGCUUUAGGGCUAGCCUCGGAAUUGAGAAUGAUGGAGGUAGAGCACUGUUUGGACUAGGGGCCCAUCUCGGGUUACCGAAUUCAGAUAAACUCCGAAUGCCAUUCAUUUAUAUCCGGGAGUCAGACUGCGAGUGAUAAGAUCCGUAGUCGAAAGGGAAACAGCCCAGACCACCAGCUAAGGUCCCAAAAUAUAUGUUAAGUGGAAAAGGAUGUGGGGUUGCACAGACAACUAGGAUGUUGGCUUAGAAGCAGCCACCAUUUAAAGAGUGCGUAAUAGCUCACUAGUCGAGUGACCCUGCGCCGAAAAUGUACCGGGGCUAAACAUAUUACCGAAGCUGUGGACUACACCAUUAGGUGUAGUGGUAGGAGAGCGUUCUAAGGGCGUUGAAGGUCGAUCGUGAGGACGGCUGGAGCGCUUAGAAGUGAGAAUGCCGGUAUGAGUAGCGAAAGACAGGUGAGAAUCCUGUCCACCGUAUGACUAAGGUUUCCUGGGGAAGGCUCGUCCG